GACAGAGGGUGCAACCGUUGUUCGGAAUUACUGGGCGUAAAGCGAGUGUAGGCGGUCUCAUAAGUCGGGUGUGAAAGCCCUGGGCUCAACCCAGGAAGUGCACUCGAAACUGCGAGGCUAGAGUAUCGGAGAGGUUGGUGGAAUUCUCGGUGUAGAGGUGAAAUUCGUAGAUAUCGAGAGGAACACCGGUGGCGAAGGCGGCCAACUGGACGAAUACUGACGCUGAGACUCGAAAGCGUGGGGAGCAAACAGG
rnacentral:rRNA from 1 species